rnacentral:rRNA from 1 species
CCUACGGGAGGCAGCAGUGAGGAAUAUUGGUCAAUGGCCGGAAGGCUGAACCAGCCAAGCCGCGUGAAGGAAGACGGUUCCAAGCAUUGUAAACUUCUUUUGUCAAAGGACAAAAUCAGGCACGAGUGCCUGGCCGAAGGUACUUGAAGAAAAAGCAUCGGCUAACUCCGUGCCAGCAGCCGCGGUAAUACGGAGGAUGCGAGCGUUAUCCGGAUUUAUUUGGUUUAAAGGGUGCGUAGGCGGACUGUUAAGUGAGCGGUUAAAUCCCGGGGCUCAACCCCGGCGAGGCCUCUGAUACUGGCUGGCUUGAGAUUAGGUGAGGUAUGCGGAAUGCAAGGUGUAGCGGUGAAAUGCUUAGAUAU